CUACGGGAUGCUCCAGUGAGGAAUAUUGCACAAUGGGGGGAACCCUGAUGCAGCAACGCCGCGUGGAGGAUGACGCAUUUCGGUGUGUAAACUCCUUUUAUAUGCCAAGAAAAUGACGGUAGCAUAUGAAUAAGCACCGGCUAACUCCGUGCCAGCAGCCGCGGUAACUACGGAGGGUGCAAGCGUUACUCGGAAUCACUGGGCGUAAAGGACGCGUAGGCGGGUUGGAAAGUCAGGUGUGAAAUCCUACAGCUUAACUGUAGAACUGCACUUGAAACUUCUAAUCUAGAGUAUGGGAGGGGGAGAUGGAAUUAGUGGUGUAGGGGUAAAAUCCGUAGAUAUCACUAGGAAUACCUAAAGCGAAGGCGAUCUCCUGGAACAUUACUGACGCUAAGGCGUGAAAGCGUGGGGAGCAAACAGGAUUAGAUACCCUAGUAGUC
rnacentral:rRNA from 1 species